AUUGCUUCUCGGCCUUUUGGCUAAGAUCAAGUGUCAUAUCUGUUCUUAUCAGUUUAAUAUUUUAAUCUUCAGGUGGCUCAAAAGGGCAAGCAGGCCUUAGGGACAACUGGUUGACCUCAAACAUCAAUUACUCAGAGCAUACUUUAUGCCAGUGUGUGCAUACACAUGGGCGCACACACACACACACACACACACACACACACACACACACACACUGUGUCCAUAUU
rnacentral:snRNA from 1 species